UACCAGCACCCCGAGUGGUCGGGGCGAUUAUUGGGCCUAAAGCAUCCGUAGCCGGCCUUACAAGUCCCCCGUUAAAUCCAACUGCUUAACAGAUGGGCUGCGGAGGAUACUAUAAGACUAGGAGGCAGGAGAGGCAAGCGGUACUCAGUGGGUAGGGGUAAAAUCCGUUGAUCCAUUGAAGACCACCAGUGGCGAAGGCGGCUUGCCAGAAUGCGCUCGACGGUGAGGGAUGAAAGCUGGGGGAGCAAACCGG
rnacentral:rRNA from 1 species